rnacentral:lncRNA from 1 species
AGGGAAACUUGGUGGAACCGAGUUUGUGAUUCCGGUGGUACCGAGAUGAAAAACCAAGAUCAACUCUGGAAUUCGAUGGAACCAAGUUCGUGAAGUUGGUUUCACCGAGUUCAUUCACAGAGAGGUUUUGGAGGUUAGCCAUUGACGAUUCGGAACUCCGAGUGCUCCUUCACACAAAGGGAUCGACAAGUGCUUGUUCAAGUUUUGUGAUGAAGCAUGAAUAUAACUUGAGAUGAGAUAGCAUAAAUAGCUAGAGAAGGGUCCUAGGCAUUCUUGUCCAUCCAAUUGGCAAAUGAUAAAUCAAGAGACAAAUAACAACAAUUGGAUGUCGUCGAAUGAUCAAACACAUGCACACCAACAUGCUCACACAAUAAGAAUGACAGAGAAAACAUGGUGAACAUGCACAAACAUCCUAGCAGUUAUCAAGCACUUGGGCAAUGACAAAGUCAUCUAUAUAUGAGUAUAUUGACAUGGGAGCCAAGUAAGACUACUUGAUCAUAGGUCAUACUCAUCCUUAAGCACAAGUGGGGUUACCACUUUUACAUAAGCAUUAAUCUGUUCAUAUCCUUAGGAGAUGCUUAUACUCAAGUCUUAGAGUAAAGCUCCCCCUUGAUAUGACAUCCCACUAAUAGGGAUCAACUAACCUUGGGUUUUGUCGUUGAAGACUUCAAGUAGGUGAAGUAGUGGUGGAUGCUCAAAGUUGAUGAAGAUCAUCUUGAGUUAGGAG